rnacentral:rRNA from 1 species
AUGACUAGGGAUAACCUUAGGAAGAAACACAUCAUCAAACCCCUUGAUUGUGUUUACUGCUUGGAACAAGAGUCUUGUUCUCACCUAUUUUCUGAAUGUAUAGUUGCUAAACAUCUCUGGGCCCACAUUGAGGAAUAUUUCUCUAGUCAGAUUGGCUCAUCCUUCGAAUCUGUCGCCAGAUUCUGGAUUGCUAUCAAAAAGUGCUCAGUUUUAAACACUGUUAGCUCAAAUGUCCUUUGGUGCCUCUGGAAAUAUAGAAAUGCUAUGAUUUUCAGUAACACCUCCUGGAUUUCCAUUCCGCGGGUCUUGAGGUUGAUCAAGAACAUGGUGAGGAACUGGGCGAUUCUCUCCUCCGGAUCGGACAAGGACAAGUUGAUGAGCUUCGUGGAAACCCUAACAAGAUCCCUCCAGAAACCAUUUGCGAUCACUUGUGGCUGA